rnacentral:rRNA from 1 species
AUUGAACGCUGGCGGCAUGCCUUACACAUGCAAGUCGAACGGCAGCGCGGGGCAACCUGGCGGCGAGUGGCGAACGGGUGAGUAAUAUAUCGGAACAUACCCUAGAGUGGGGGAUAACGUAGCGAAAGUUACGCUAAUACCGCAUACGCACUAAGGUGGAAAGUGGGGGAUUCGCAAGAACCUCAUGCUCAUGGAGUGGCCGAUAUCUGAUUAGCUAGUUGGUGAGGUAAAGGCUCGCCAAGGCGACGAUCAGUAGCUGGUUUGAGAGAACGACCAGCCACACUGGAACUGAGACACGGUCCAGACUCCUACGGAGGCAGCAGUGGGGAAUUUUGGACAAUGGGGGCAACCCUGAUCCAGCAAUGCCGCGUGAGUGAAGAAGGCCUUCGGGUUGUAAAG